rnacentral:lncRNA from 12 species
GCAACUGCAUGUUUCCAGAGCUGCUGGAAAGCCAAUUUUUACCAAAACAGCUGCGAAGCCAGACUGACUUCUAACCUCCCCUGUUGAAUACAGGAUCUCUUGGCACAAUUACAGUACAAGUAGCACAGAACCUAUGGGGUUACCAUUAUAGAAACAGACUUGGCCGGCAGGAAAUGUUUACAUCCUGCAUGGAACCCUGAUGUUCGACAUGAAACCAGAGAGGCUCAUCAUGGUUUCAGGAAACAAAAGCCUCCAUCUUUGAACUUGCCUCAUAUAGCCCAAACAAACAAAUAUUCUCACUUCCUUACUGUCAAAUGCCUCACUUCCAACUACUCCUUUCAUUGAACUUUUGAUGCUCUGUAGAUACAGGAAAUGAACAGUCCUGCGGUGCUCUGCCUGCAAUGAAAUAAGCCACUUCCACCAAGGAUAACAGUAAGCAACACGACCAAGAGAGAUGGACUCUGGGUUGGUCUUUGCAAUUCCUCAAAUGCCUCCUAGGAAAAUGGACCAUUUUUCUUCAUAGACUUUUUCUGAAAGAACAUAUUCCCUUUUUCAUCUUGAAUAUUAAAAAAAAAAAACAAAAAACAAAAACGAAACCCAUCAGGUGUGUAUUUGUUUUAACUAUUUGCUCACGGGUUGAAAUGACUACUGCUUGUUCAUGGAAAAAGUUACUUAAUUUUCUCAGCUACAUAAACAGUCAAAUGAUAAUCUAUGUGUAAUUUUAGGAAACUAUAAAUGGUCUUGGGCAUUGAGUAUCCAGUAAGUAGGAAGUUAAGACUAUCACAAGCUGGAAAGUUUUCAAAUAUAUACCAACCCUGAUUUAAUGGAGAUUCCACAAAAAGGUUGAUUUUGUAUAUAGUCUUCUAGUAGCUGAGGUCAGAAAGAGAAAAAAAGAAGUCUUUGAAACAAUGCUUGCUCAAUAUUUAAAGUCCGUUGAGCCAGAUGGCCAUGGAGCAGACUGAGGCACAUUUACCUUUUGUCUUCUUUAUGUUAUGGCUUCUG